UUGACCUCGGAUCAGGUAGGAAUACCCGCUGAACUUAAGCAUAUCAAUAAGCGGAGGAAAAGAAACCAACAGGGAUUGCCCCAGUAACGGCGAGUGAAGCGGCAACAGCUCAAAUUUGAAAUCUGGCUUCGGCCCGAGUUGUAAUUUGUAGAGGAUGAUUUUGGUGAGGUGCCUUCUGAGUUCCCUGGAACGGGACGCCAGAGAGGGUGAGAGCCCCGUAUAGUCGGCCACCGAUCCUCUGUAAAUCUCCUUCGACGAGUCGAGUAGUUUGGGAAUGCUGCUCAAAAUGGGAGGUAUAUCUCUUCUAAAGCUAAAUAUAGGCCAGAGACCGAUAGCGCACAAGUAGAGUGAUCGAAAGAUGAAAAGCACUUUGAAAAGAGGGUUAAAUAGCACGUGAAAUUGUUGAAAGGGAAGCGCUUGUGACCAGACUUGUGCCGGGCUGAUCAUCCAGUGUUCUCACUGGUGCACUCGACCCGGCCCAGGCCAGCGUCGGUUCUCGUGGGGGGACAAAAGCUUCGGGAACGUAGCACCUUCGGGUGUGUUAUAGCCCGCUGCUCAAUAUCCUCGUGGGGACCGAGGUUCGCGCUCUGCAAGGACGCUGGCAUAAUGGUCAUCAGCGACCCGUCUUGAAACACGGACCAAGGAGUCGAGGUUUUGCGCGAGUGUUUGGGUGUAAAACCCGCACGCGUAAUGAAAGUGAACGUAGGUGAGAGCUUCGGCGCAUCAUCGACCGAUCCUGAUGUAUUCGGAUGGAUUUGAGUAAGAGCGUAUAGCCUCGGACCCGAAAGAUGGUGAACUAUGCCUGAAUAGGGUGAAGCCAGAGGAAACUCUGGUGGAGGCUCGCAGCGGUUCUGACGUGCAAAUCGAUCGUCAAAUUUGGGCAUGGGGGCGAAAGACUAAUC
rnacentral:rRNA from 1 species